UAGCUCAGUUGGUAGAGCGGAGGACUGUAGAUCCUUAGGUCGCUGGUUCAACUCCGGCU
rnacentral:tRNA from 1 species